GAUGAACGCUGGCGGCGUGCCUAAUACAUGCAAGUCGAGCGAACGGACGAGAAGCUUGCUUCUCUGAUGUUAGCGGCGGACGGGUGAGUAACACGUGGAUAACCUACCUAUAAGACUGGGAUAACUUCGGGAAACCGUAGCUAAUACCGGAUAAUAUUUUGAACCGCAGGGUUCAAAAGUGAAAGACGGUCUUGCUGUCACUUAUAGAUGGAUCCGCGCUGCAUUAGCUAGUUGGUAAGGUAACGGCUUACCAAGGCAACGAUGCAUAGCCGACCUGAGAGGGUGAUCGGCCACACUGGAACUGAGACACGGUCCAGACUCCUACGGGAGGCAGCAGUAGGGAAUCUUCCGCAAUGGGCGAAAGCCUGACGGAGCAACGCCGCGUGAGUGAUGAAGGUCUUCGGAUCGUAAAACUCUGUUAUUAGGGAAGAACAUAUGUGUAAGUAACUGUGCACAUCUUGACGGUACCUAAUGAGAAAGCCACGGCUAACUACGUG
rnacentral:rRNA from 1 species